rnacentral:rRNA from 1 species
AAGUCGUAACAAGGUAACCGUAGGUGAACCUGCGGUUGGAUCAUUACCAAAUUUUAAAGAAAGCCAAAUCGUCUGUAAUUUUUAAUUGCGGUGCGUGCUGGUUCUUCUGCGGUAUUGAAAUAUAUACCACAUCUACCUUGUGUGCAUAGUAAUCUGUAUUUGGCGGAUUUUCAAAUCCUUUAUGGAUGAGAAAACGACAUCAAUUUUCAACUGAUUGAUUUGUUGGGCUGCUGAGAUUAGGUUUUGUUUACAAAAGCUUUUCUUAGGAGUGCCGCCAACCAUUUUGCAUAAACAUUAUAUUUUAUUUUUCUAGUCUGAUUCUGUUUUUUACAUGAUAUUUUUGUUACUUUUCUUUUUAUUAAGAAUGUUUUAAAAGUAUUUAAAAUUGUUAAAACAACUUUUGGCAACGGAUCUCUAGGCUCUCGCAACGAUGAAGAACGCAGCGAAAUGCGAUAAGUAAUGUGAAUUGCAGAAUUCAGUGAAUUAUCGAAUCUUUGAACGCACAUUGCGCUUCCUGGCAUUCCGGGGAGCAUGCCUGUUUCAGAAUCAUUAAAACCUCUCACCCACUAUUGUGUGUUUUUAAUGCCAAUAGCACGGUGGAUUUUGAGUGUUUUUGGAAAUUUACUUUUUCAAAUCACUUUAAUUUUAUAGUAUGCAGCCAUUGUUUUCACUCAUUUUCAAAAUGUUUGGUGAAUGGUUCCCAAGUGCAAUAAAGACUAAACACCUUUCCCACGCUUGAGACCGCAAAGUUCCUGAACACUUUAAGUUUUGAAUAUGGGGUAUUGGAGCAAUUUCUUGUAUCUCAAAUUAUUAAACAAAAUGUUUAUCUUUGGAUAAGUGUUUUGAAACUUUGAUCUGAAAUCAAGCAAGAAAACCCGCUGAACUUAA